rnacentral:ncRNA from 1 species
UAAAAGUUUGAUUUUUGCUUAAUUUUUACUUGUUUUAUUCUGGUGCAUGUAGGUUUUUAUAAGAUUAAUGUUUCUAAAUGAUUUUAUUAUUAUUUUCAGUGCUUUAUAUUUUUUUUUUUUAAUUGAAUUUGAGGUAAUAAAUUUUAAAUAGAAUAAUGUUGUGCCAGCAUUCGCGGUUAUACAACAUAUUUAAGGUAAAAUUUUUGGUUUAUCAGUUUUAUUUGAUUUUUUUGUAUUUAGGUGAAAUUUAUACUUUUAAAGUGUUUAUUUCUGGCUAGGCUUGGGAAGAAACCAGGAUUAGAUACCCUGUUAUUCUUGAAUAAUAAAAUUUAACUUGGGGAGUAAAUUUUGUUUUAAAUUCAAUAGAUCUGGCGGUUUUUUAAUCCUUUUAGAGGAACCUGUAAUUUAAAUGAUAGUCCACGAUUUUUUUUACCUUGACUUAUCUUGUAUAUCUCUGUCGUUGAAUGUAUUGAUAAUUAAUUUUCUUUUCUUUUUUGAAAAUUUAUGUUAGGUCAAGAUGCAGUUGUGUCAGGGUUAUUAUGGGUUACAAUAAUUUUUUUUUUUUGAUUAAGAUCUUUAUUUUCUUAUGAAUUUGGAUUUAAAAGUAAUUUAUUUUUUUUGAUUUUUUGAAUUUGGCUCUGAAUUAUGUACAUAUCGCCCGUCAUUCUCAUAAAUUGAGACAAGUCGUAACAAAGUAGAUGUAUCUGAAGAUGUAUCUAGAACCAG